CGCAUAGCGUUGUGCGGUGGCACUGUGGUUGGGCCUAAUUGAUCGCCUUAAGCCUUUACCCCACUGUGUUUUCUCCAUGUUGUCGCGUGUUUAUCAGCAGCGGUUACAUCAUCUACCUGGUGUAACGCCUUGUAAGUAGGUGGCCGCCUGUCAACGAUCGCUGCAACUACCGGCCGUCAACAAGCAACAUGGCGGUCGCUGGUCACUCCGGAGUGGUUUCUUCGCCACGAUGUCGUCAAUCUUCAAAUAAAAAAAAUUUCAGGGCCUUUCAAAGACGUUUCAUGGAUCGGCUGUCAUUUUCCUGGGACGCAGAACGCAGUUUAUGACCAGGGCUUAAAAGAUUUCACUAAGGAAUAUGAAGUCCUCCGUGGAUAACCACAGACCCAACAAAAGCUAUGCACAGUAUCGCAACAGAAAUAGCAAAAAAAAAAAAAUUGUGAAAACUAUGCUUUAGCACCACCUGCUCGAUUUUCGCAAAGAAGCACACGCGGCAUGUGCGUCUAGAGAAGGGAGUGUCCCCGCCUUCAUUUGUUUUUCCAUCCUUUGUGAUAAGACAGUUGUCACCAGCACGAAGAUUAAAGUGGGGCUACGACACAGCGGGCAGGUCAAGCGCGUGUCUGAGGCCUGCAGAUGGGUUUCGGCGGUGUGGGCGGCAGUGCCACGCGACAUGGUCAUUCGUACAUUCAAGAAGUGUCGACUAUGUGUAGGGCCUGACUUUUUCGGGUUUUAUUUUUGGCCAAAUUCGGGGGGUAAAUAUCGGGCGAUAUUUUUCAUUGGAAAAUUCGGGUGUAUUCGGGUUAAAUCCCGUUACGGCAUAUUCUGUCGUCAGGAAUUCGGGUGUAUUCGGGUGAUUUUUUAUUGUUUAAUAAAAAUUUGUCUUAACGUGGAACUAAUGUUUAGGAAUGUUAUCAAACUUUAUUUUAAUGCACGCUUACGAGUGUGCCACGCGACCCGGAUGUUUUCGGGUAGAUUCGGGUUAAACCCGAAUUUUACAGAUUUCGUUCGGGGGGUAAAUAUCGGGCGGAUACGGGUUUAACCCUAAAAAGUCAGGCCCUAACUAUGUGUUGACAACGACGUCUGCUACACCUCCGACGAGAUCGAGGAGGAGUCUUCCGGCAAGUUUUCGUUACCACAAAACUUUUUCUUUUCAUUUUCAUGGAUCUUGAAGUGGGGGGUCGACUCACAUUUGGGUAAAUACGGUAAAUAUCGGGCGUAAUCGGGCAUAACCCUAAAGAGUCAGGCCCUGGUUACAUCACGUUAACUUCUCAAGUGCACGUAAUAACUGGGCAUGAGAAUUGAAAAAUCUGUUUAUUAACUAAGGCGGAGAAUAAAUAAUUUGUCCUUUCCAUGA